GAGGUGGCUGAGUGGUUAAGGUGAUGGA
rnacentral:piRNA from 1 species